rnacentral:rRNA from 1 species
UACGUAGGUGACAAGCGUUGUCCGGAUUUACUGGGCGUAAAGAGCGCGCAGGCGGUCGAUCAAGUCGAGUGUGAAAGCCCCCCGGCUCAACUGGGGGAGGGUCAUUCGAUACUGAUCGACUCGAAGGCAGGAGAGGGUAGUGGAAUUCCCGGUGUAGUGGUGAAAUGCGUAGAUAUCGGGAGGAACACCGGUGGCGAAGGCGGCGACCUGGGUAGAUACUGACGCUGAGGUGCGAAAAGCGUGGGGGAGCAAACAGG